AAGCCUGAACAUGAAGCAAAUGGGGUCUAUUCAACUGAUAACAACCUUCUGUGGUUGCUGGGUUCUAUUCAACUGAUAACAACUUGCAGCUGGAUGCAACUACUCAAUUUCAUAAAUUGCUCUCAAUUGAACGGAGUCCUCCAAUCGAGGAAGUCAUACAAUCUGGUGUCGUACCUCGCUUUCUCGAGUUCUUGAUGAGAGAAGAUUUCCCACAGCUCCAGUUUGAAGCUGCUUGGGCACUCACAAACAUUACUUCUGGUACCUCUGAGAACACAAAGGAAAGAGAAACAACCCUUUCUUUUUGGUCCGGAGCAAGAAUAAGGGGUGCCAAGGUUAAUUUCACAUUUGACGAGUCAUCUCUUAAAGCAGUAUCCGUAUACCACUUUGCGAUUAGAGGCUGUUGAAGGGAGAUGAUGGCAUACAAGAGCCUGUCGAUCAGAUCAGUUUGAAUAGUCAACAUGAACCUGAUGGCUGAAGCGGCUAUUGAUAAACAAAAGCCAAGAGUACAAACAAUAGAUGCUUUGGUUGACAAGUCAACUCUGGGUGGGACGGCUGACAUCGCUCCGACGUUGAGACAUGGCCUCCAUUCAUGGCGAUUUUUAUUGUUUCGUCUAGCAAUGUAUGUUUCCUUUGAUCUUUGGUCUUCGCUUUGUUUUUUCAUUGCAACAGUAAUUUUAUGUGAUCGUGAUUUUGAUUUUGUUUUCUAAAUGAAAACCGUUUCGCUAAAAAGGGUUACAAGUAAGAUCAUCCUAACUCCUAAGUAUAUGAUUAAUGUAUGCAAUUAUGCCCACUUACAGUACCUAUUUACUUUGGGUUAUGAUUAGUUAAAAUUUCCAUAGUGCACAAUUACAUUUAUUCCCAUCAUUCUUCUGCAAUAUAUCACAGUUCAUGUUAAAAGAGAACUUAUCUUUUAAUUUACACAUCUUAGCUCACUGUACUUCAUGUACGCCUACUAACUUUGUUGAAUGUUUGGCUAGGAUCGAAAGUAAUGUUUACAAAAAAAAAAAUUGAAAUUUGGAUUGGUUUCAGCUAUUGGCACUAUUAUGGGUUGAAGUGGAAUUUGGUUCAAGUAAUUCUGAACAGAGUGUGUGUAUAUAUAGAUGUAUAUGUACAAACAUUUUUUGUAUAAAAAAUUAAAUGAAAAAAUAGGCCCUAAAAACUAUAAUCUCAACAUGAUUUGUAUACUUGGCAGGGAAUUUGGUUGUAUCAAGUACACUGCAUGUUUAUUUUUACGAUUUCAGGUUCAAUCCUAACAUUGGUUUGAGGCUUAAACUUUUUUACAAUCAUAUUUCACUAUGCCAACGAAUGAGUUAGUUGACGUAAUAGCACCAUCCAACUAUAGCUGGAUUUGGGUAGUGUAGGUGGUAGUGCAUCGGUUACGACGACUACGGUUAUUUGUUAACUUGAAAAUCAAGUUGCGACAGCAACACAUUAUGGAAGAAACAAGAGACAAUUGCCAUCAAAGAUUCAAGGGGUAGUUAUUAACAUGGUCGUUGUUCCAUAUUAGCCACCAACCAGACACAAGCAGACCCCAUAUGACCUUUUAGUUAUGGUUCAAUUGAUGGUAACCCGGUACUCAUUGUUUGUUGGCCUUGCUGGCUACAGAGUGUGCUCGAGCCGUGUUAUGUGAAAAAAAAAGAGCUAGGAAUGCUAUGUUGUUUUUCCACAAUAUACUACUUGAAAGAGUACAAACAAUACAAGUUGGAUGGGUUGGCUAACGUGUCAACUGUCAACACGAGUUCAGGUACCCAUGAAGAGGAUUCUUUUCCCUACAAUGGGCUACUGUGUUGAGGCUAAUACUGCACAACCUCCACCACUUCCCCCUCUUAAAGAAAACUUAUUUUGGUGGUUUGAAAGAUGAAGACCACAUACCACAUAUUUACGAACCUUUAUGGUAUACAUGACACAUUUCUCAAAGGGGCCAUGAAGCGUGGUGAUUUGUAUAGAACUAAAGAUUUAGUGAUCAAGGGUUCCGAUUGGAUUUCUUGCUAUAUAAGUGAUAGAACUAAGAUGCAUAUCAUUAUAAAAAGUCAUUUGCGGAGCACA